UGGGGAAUAUUGGGCAAUGGGCGCAAGCCUGACCCAGCAACGCCGCGUGAAGGAAGAAGGCUUUCGGGUUGUAAACUUCUUUUCUCAGGGACGAAGAAAGUGACGGUACCUGAGGAAUAAGCCACGGCUAACUACGUGCCAGCAGCCGCGGUAAUACGUAGGUGGCAAGCGUUAUCCGGAUUUACUGGGUGUAAAGGGCGCGUAGGCGGAACUUUAAGUCUGAUGUGAAAUACCAAGGCUCAACUUUGGAACUGCAUCGGAAACUGGAGAUCUAGAGUGUGGGAGAGGAAAGCGGAAUUCUCAGUGUAGCGGUGAAAUGCGUAGAUAUUGAGAGGAACACCGGUGGCGAAGGCGGCUUUCUGGACCAUAACUGACGCUGAGGCGCGAAAGCGUGGGU
rnacentral:rRNA from 1 species